GAUGAACGCUGGCGGCGUGCCUAAUACAUGCAAGUCGAGCGAACAGACGAGGAGCUUGCUCCUCUGACGUUAGCGGCGGACGGGUGAGUAACACGUGGAUAACCUACCUAUAAGACUGGGAUAACUUCGGGAAACCGGAGCUAAUACCGGAUAAUAUAUUGAACCGCAUGGUUCAAUAGUGAAAGACGGUUUUGCUGUCACUUAUAGAUGGAUCCGCGCCGCAUUAGCUAGUUGGUAAGGUAACGGCUUACCAAGGCAACGAUGCGUAGCCGACCUGAGAGGGUGAUCGGCCACACUGGAACUGAGACACGGUCCAGACUCCUACGGGAGGCAGCAGUAGGGAAUCUUCCGCAAUGGGCGAAAGCCUGACGGAGCAACGCCGCGUGAGUGAUGAAGGUCUUCGGAUCGUAAAGCUCUGUUAUUAGGGAAGAACAAAUGUGUAAGUAACUAUGCACGUCUUGACGGUACCUAAUCAGAAAGCCACGGCUAACUUCGUG
rnacentral:rRNA from 1 species